CACAGCCUCAGCAUGCUGCCCCAGCUGCCCCAGCUGCCCCAGCUGCCUCAGCUGCCUCAGCGAGUCAGCAGCUCUAAAAUCUGUCCUGAGUCACAGCAAGAAGUGGUCAGAGGCUUUGGGAUGCGUGUCCCAGGCACACAGCCGACUCUCUGCAUUAGCCUGCUAAACAUCUUGCAUUCUGCAGAAGCAACAUUCCUGGUGACUCAUGGGCAUUUACAGAAUACUAUCAGCGAUCAAAGCAAAACCAAGUCAAGCAAGGCUCUAUGCUCUUCGAUUAGCCUGAUGGACUUUCUCCUGCAUUCAGUGCCUGGGUCUUUGCCUAUGCUGCCCCCACACUGGAAGUAUGCCCCUGUGUCAGGACAGACUGGCUGGCUUUCGAGUCCUCUCUUGCACUUUAAAUAAAACUGACUUUACUUUGAUUUGGCUUGAAACUUCCUAAGGAGAAAACUGGUCUUAUUUUUUCAGUGCUGAUAAGUGAACCUUAAAGGUUUUGUUUGUUGGUUUUUGUUUUUUUUUGUUUUGUUUUUUUUUGUGGGGUUGGGGUGGGGUGAGGUUGGGUUUUGUUGUUUUGGUGGUGUUAAGAAUUGAACCCCAAAUUUUACAUGUGCUACAGCUCUUUUGAGUGAAGACGCUAAGUAUGGAUGGAUUCCAGAUGACACUUCUUAGUGUCACUUUAAUUUUUAUCAAGAUGAGUGCCUGAAUGAUGGGAUUUUUUUGGGGGGAGGGGCUAGAACUAAAAAUGUUAAGCCAAAUUUCUUACCAAAAUAUGCCUCCUCCCUUUAUGCAAGGCAGAUCUUCCCAAGGGAAGCAGAGAUCCUCUUUCUCCUGUGCCCCCACAGUCUAGGUCACCUGCUGCCUUUUGCUUGGAACAGUUCACAUAAGGGUUGGUCUCAUAGAGAAGGCUCUGAGUCUGAAAUUGCCAGAAACAUAUUUGUAGCUUCUGUCAUGAUCUUGUUUGAACAAUUUCUCAAAGAAAAAUGCACUUGGCAGAACUUGUUCUCCGCUGAGGUAACUUCAUAAUGUAUGUAAAGCAGUAUAUGUUCACAGAACUUUUAAGAUCUCCAAAAGCAUAUAGUAAUAUUGAUUUCAUUUAACAUGAAGUAUCUUUCUUGGUCCCUAUACCUAAAGGACUGUGAUGUGGCUUGUGGAGAGAAUUAGUGUUAGAAAAGCAAGGUUUAGUUCAUACAUGAAGCCAUGAGUUUAGCAUUAAUGUUAGGCACAUUAAUUUGUUUUGUCUUUUAUGGGACAGAGUCUCACUGUGUAGUCCGGCUAGUCUGUAUGCAUCUGAACAUGCAAAAGACCUCCUGCCUUUGCCUGUUCAAUGCGGGCAUUACAAGCAUAAACCACUAUUUCCAGUCAGUUCAAAGCUAAUGAACCAGCAAUGUAGAUUAUAUUAUAUGGGGUCUUUAAGCAGAGAUACACUAAGUGAGGUUGUAUGAAGAUUUUCUACCAAAGAAAAAUGUUAUAAGCUGAAGUUAAACAAACACAUCCUUGUGUUUCCUGGGGGACAAAGCUUCAGAACUCAGCAAGGGUGGGAACCUUUUAAAGAAUCAUGAAUGAUGGUGGGAUCAACGCCACCUCAGUCACAGAUGGAGACCUUUCAGAUGUUUACCUUUUAUGCAGUGUGGACUGCACUGGCAUGUAUUAUUAUUAGGGGACAGGCCUGCUUGUUUUCAAACUUGUAUGGCUUUUCCAAUGGACAGGACCAAAUAAACAGUUGUACUGGAAAGAGAGCUCA
rnacentral:lncRNA from 1 species